GAUACUUCUUUCCUUCCUCUGUCACCUCCUUCCUGCUGAGGGCUCCUAUACUGCCAGGAUCGGUGUCCAUGCAGGUUCCUUAAUGGUGAGGAGUGUGAGUGAAUGGUGAAUUUGAUCAUAUUCAGGAUUUAAAGAACUAGUGACAAAAACACAUUCCAAAUCUGAAAAAUCCAACCAGCUCUCAUGUUCCCUCAUGUAUCCUGUAUUCCUGGAUUGCGGCAGUUAUGAUAGUCAGAUAUGGCGUGAGAAGGGUGUGGAAAAUGGAAACAGAACAUACCCAAGCCCUGCCUUCAAGCAUCAGGAGCUUCACCUGCGCUCAAAUGGAAGAUCUAGGAAACCUGGCAGAGGAAGGUAACGCAUCUGGAGUGUUGUGACUGUCAUGUAAAAUGUGAAAAAAUAUAUAACCCUGUUACAGAACUUGUGCAUUUUAACAACCUACUUUAUUAAAUUCUAUUGAUUUCUGAAAUUGCCUACGGACUUCUGUUAAAUAUAUAGCAGUUUCUUCUUGUCUCUUUUCUUUUUCUUUUUAUCCUUUAUGGUUUCUAUCCAAAGGAACAUACAGCUCUUGAGAAAGAUGUGGACCUGUAGCUCAUAUCCUUUUGGCUGUCUGCUCUGAUGCUCAGAGAAAGUCUAUCAGAGCAUACUGAAAAAGAAACUUAGGGAUAGUUUCUUCUUUCUCUGCCACAGACUCCCACAGAUGCCCUUUGUCAAGUCACAUAACAAU